rnacentral:rRNA from 1 species
UGGCUCAGAGCGAACGCUGGCGGCGUGCUUAACACAUGCAAGUCGAGUGCGCGUACCGUAGCAAUACGGUAUGGCGCACGGCGCACGGGUGCGUAACACGUGGGUAAUCUGCCCUUCGAUGGGGAAUAACUCCGGGAAACCGAAGCUAAUUCCGCAUAACAUUCCUUGAACUUCGGUUUGAGGACUCAAAGCCGUAAGGCGUCGGAGGAGGAACCCGCGCACGAUUAGCUAGUUGGUAGGGUAACGGCCUACCAAGGCUUUGAUCGUUAGCUGGUCUGAGAGGAUGGCCAGCCACACUGGAACUGAGACACGGUCCAGACUCCUACGGGAGGCAGCAGUGGGGAAUCUUGCACAAUGGGCGAAAGCCUGAUGCAGCGACGCCGCGUGGGGGAUGAAGCUUUUCGGAGUGUAAACCCCUUUCGACCCGGACGAAUGCCCCGCAAGGGGACUGACGGUACGGGUAUAAGAAGCCCCGGCUAACUACGUGCCAGCA